UAUCACAAAACACCAGUUCCCAUACAAUCACCAAAGUUAAGCAAUGUAAAGCCUAGUCAGUACCUAGAUGGGUGAUCACUUGGGAAUACUU